GUGAUAAUCCGAGUUGAAUCUUCCCUAUUGCGUCUGAAUUUGGGCACUGGGUCUUAGAAACAAUAAGCAAGUUACUGUGUUCCUGUCCUUAAGUUUACUCCAUGGUAUCUCUGGGAAUAUGUAUACGUCUGGAAACAUAGGUUUUGAUGUGCUGGUCGCAUGGAGCUCAAGAGUAAGGAGUAAGCAGAGUUUACCUCAGGUUUUCAAGGAACAAUUUUUUGCAUCAAGGUUUACACUACAUGAAAUAGUCAUAAAUGGAGUGUACUGUAGUGACUGUUUAUAAUGUCCACUAUGAUCUGUGAUCCUUUCUAGCUUCCAUCAUUCAGCUGCCAUGGCUCUUGAGUGCUCAGAGUGUGGUAAACAAUUUGCAAAUAAAGAGGCUCUCAAUAAACACAUGUUAAUGCAUACAUGGGAAACACUUAAUAGUUGUGAACAUUGUGGUGAGACCUUUACACAAAAGGUUUCUCUUAAGAAACACAUGAUCGGUCAUGGUGAUAAAAAACCCUUUAAAUGUGAACUAUGUGGGAGUGCUUAUAGUGCGAACAAGAACUUGAAAAGACAUCUGAAAACAUGUGGUAGUACAGGAAGCCUUAGCAAAACAAAAUGCCUUCACCCAUCCUGUGAGAAGA